rnacentral:rRNA from 1 species
GAUGAACGCUGGCGGCGUGCCUAACACAUGCAAGUCGAGCGGCAGCGCGGGGUGCUUGCACCCUGUCGGCGAGCGGCGGACGGCUGAGUAACGCGUGGGAACGUGCCCCAAAGUGAGGAAUAACUGCCCGAAAGGGUAGCUAAUACCGCAUAUUAUCUUCGGAUCAAAGGAUUUAUCCGCUUUGGGAGCGGCUCGCGUCGGAUUAGGUAGUUGGUGAGGUAAUGGCUCACCAAGCCGACGAUCCGUAGCUGGUCUGAGAGGAUGACCAGCCAGACUGGAACUGAGACACGGUCCAGACUCCUACGGGAGGCAGCAGAGAGGAAUCUUCCACAAUGGGCGAAAGCCUGAUGGAGCAACGCCGCGUGCAGGACGAAGGCCUUCGGGUUGUAAACUGCUUUUAUAAGUGAGGAAUAUGACGGUAACUUAUGAAUAAGGAUCGGCUAACUACGUG